rnacentral:lncRNA from 12 species
UUUUAUAAAGGAAAACACUUUAAAAAGGAAAUGAAUGGACAAUAAUACAUGUCCUUUGCUGGCUGGAAUGAUGGAUGGGCUCCAAGAAGAAAUAACCAAUGUCCACAAUAGGCUGGUGAUAAUAAUCAAGUGUGUUCAGCAUAAACUGACCAUGAUCAAAAGAAGUGUCCCAAAAAUCAGUCAUCGUAAACACAGCUCACUACACACCAUAAAUCUAAAAGCUGAAUACAGUGAUUUCCCCUGGUUCACUUCUGCUCCGUGGGCUUCCUGACGUUUGGAGGCAAGCUCUGUCACAUACCUCUCCAGAGUAUACCACUGGACAAGCAUGUAUGGAACAUGUACAGUGUGCCAGGUUCAGCAAUCAUCAUUGCAUCAUCAGAUUUAGCACUUGCCUCAAAGCUUCCUCAGUUUUCACAAACCAAGUCAUUCCAGUCUGUUACCAAGGCUAGAAGGUAGUGAGUAAGAAAUUAAGGAGGCUUGUGCCUGGAAUUUUGAGCUAUUACUAGAAAUACAAGUGUGAAUGUAUAUAGGCCCUGUCUUAACCAGCACAAGAUUUACUUGAACAUCAAGUUCAAGUAUUAUGUCUUAGUCAAGAUUCCAUUCAUUAAAUGCUGACCGA